UAUGGUGGUUUUGCCGCGGGUGUUCACCUCUUCCCAUUCCGAACAGAGAAGUUAAGCCCCCCAUGGCCGAUGGUACUGCACUAUCAUGCGGGAGAGUAGGUAGCUGCCAUAC
rnacentral:rRNA from 1 species